AGCAGUGCUUUAAAUAGCAAGUGCAUUUCCUAAUUUAUUAGUACAAGAGUAACAGUACAGAUCAUGUAAAAAUUAUUUUACAGACUAUAUGUCCAUGGAUGCACGCUUCUGAUGACAUAGCAGUGACGUGUUCGUGGGAUGAAUGUCUUUAUUUCAGAUUUAAAUAUUGGCUUCCAGGUCUGGGUUAGUCUCCUACACUGAGUAGUCUAGGUCAGAGCCCAUUUACUAGAGAAAGUGAAUUAAACUAGGAAUUAUAAACAUGAAAAGAUCUUGUUUAGGACACCAAUAAGACAAUCAGCAAGGUUCUUUGGUUAUUCAUUUCCAAAUUUGUGAGGAUAUAUUUUAUGACUGGUUUCAAUAUUGUGAAAACAAAUAUUUGUUUAUUGUCACACUAGAGUUGGCUGCCCCCAUUUGUAUACAACCCCUUUACAGGCUAAAAAUUCAGUGUGUUACCCUAUUUACUCGCAUAAUGAUCGCACUUUUUUGUAAAAAAAAUUGACUCAAAUUCAGGGGUGCGAUCAUUACGCUGGUUAAAUUUCCCGCAAAAAGAAAAAAAUAUAUUAUCUGGCAUUUACUACGGGAUGACAACAGGUCAACAAAUAGGCGGCUGCUGCUGUAUGUAGUGCAGGACACGAAAAAAAAUGGUGGCCGGCAGAGCAAGCCGAACGCGCUGAUUGCGUUUUUCUUCUCGUGAGUACAUUACAGUGCAUUCAAACAGUUUCUUCCAUAUUAGUAAUGAAUAACAUCGGCGAGUUUGCGGCAAUAGCAUAGCCAUGCCCACUUUGAGGGGACAGAGAUGGGCGCGCUUAGCUCUGCCAGUGACAUAGGAACACAUGGUGGGCAUGCUGCGGAAACUGCGGCAUUUGUCUUCACCACUAUCCUAAUGUGGCACGUUUCCGCUAAGGGUGGGCGAAUAUCUUAGCUGCGUUACAAACGUCGGCGAAUGAAUAGGGUACACUUCUAACGUAUCAGUGUAAACGUGGCUGCUAUCAUUGCCGCUCGCGAUUUGUUGCGUGCCCACAAGUGCAGAUGAGAAGAAUCGAAAGACGCCUUUUUUGUUGUUUUUGUUGACCACAACCAUUAUAAAGCCUACACAUAAUAAAGGAAAGUUUGGUUGUAGCUUUUUUUUGUCGUAGAAGUGCAGAAAGUGAUGAAAGGAAUGAAAUGGGGCAUCUGCUUAAGAAAGUUUUUUGCAUGCAGUCUGCUUGGUUUGUCUUGAAGAGUCGUUCGCAUAGCAGUCGACAGAUGGUAAGCGCGAUCAUUAUUAGCUAGAUUUGGCACAUGACACAUCGCUGCGGCAAGUUCGGGGUGAAAUCGUUACAUGGGAAAUUAAAAAAAUCGAAUUUUGACGACAAAAUUUAGGAGUGCGAUCAUUACGCGAGUGCAAUCAUUAUGCGAGUAAAUACGGUAAUAGGCUGUUUUUGGUUUCGUGCACUCUAUGUUAAGGGAUGCAAAUGGUGACAUACAACAGAAUGCAAAAAUGACUAAUGAAUUCAAGCAGGGCAUGGGGCUUUUUAGGCAGAUGCGUGCGUGUGCUAUUUAUAAAGCUCCCCAUGGUAUGCCUGAAGGCAUUUUCUAACACUUUGGUAGAAUACACUGACACCCCCUUAUUAACUCUUCGAAACAACUCUUUUAUAUAUUUGUACUAGAGAUUUGAAUAUACUGUCAUUCAUAAAGUGUUUUAUUAGAUUUGAAUUGUCAUUUAUUUUUGUGUAGCUGCUGUUUUUCAGUUAUGUCCUACACAGUGGCAAAAUAUUUUUGUGGGCACUUUCCUGUGUAUAAAAUUUUCAGAAAUAGCUUCAUGCUGUAUCUUAUUUAGCUACUCGUAUACUGCAAAGUGGUGAUACCUAUCCAAAUGGCUUGUACAAUUACUGGAACUAUGCAAAAAUAUAUUAGGCCACAUUAAAUAAUUUUACAGAUUGCAAUUUCAAUUAGAUAUCAGCAUUCUGCAUAUCUUGAAGAGUACGUAUGCCAAAUUUCGAAGUAUAGGACAACUAUAAGUGCAUAAGAAGUAUGCAAGAUUAGUAGGCAGGCCUCUCUGCCUGCCUACUAAUUUUGCAUACUUCUAGUAACUUUACAUGCUCUUUGAAUAGAUAUCGGCACUUUGCAGUCUACAAAGAGCUGAGGUAGCUACAGCACACUGCUUUUUGUGAAAAUUUACACAAGAAAGUGCCCGCAAAGAUCAGUGUAUUUUCCCAUUGUGUAGGACAUAACUCAAGAAGCAGCUAAAGAAAUACUGACAUAUAUGACAUCUGCAUGAAGAACUCUACAAUUUGCUCUCUUUUCAAGCCUCUAGCACGAAUAAUAAGACUGUUUCGAGUAAUAUUCAAUCAGCAAAACAUGCCCCUUGCUAUAGUGACCUACAACCUAGAAACGCAAAUUGAACGCAAGUCUUUUUGUUGAAGCGACUCUGGGCUGUCUUCCCAAGGGCUUCUGUUAAACACUGAAAUUUCCUGCAUUUACCAGAAGUGCAAUACUCAAAUGUUUGUGUAUGUGCAAUUGGUAUUGGCAAACUAACAGAAAAAAAGACAGUUCUGUGAAAUGAAGAAUUGACUAUAACUUUGUUCGACAUUUACAUUUUGACUCCAUAUCUUUGUUUUGUGCUUUGUACUGAGUGUUUCAGCAGUGACUGCCGCUAAAAAUUGAACAUAACUGCUUCAUGACAAUGCGACAAUUUUCGCUAACAGAAAUUUAUAGCACUGGCAGGCAUUAUAAUUACCGUACUCAAUAACGUCUAGUUUGUAAGAACUCAGACUAGCACCAGUUCCGAGAUACACAACCCAAAAAGACAUGAUCAGAAAGGUUUAUCUUCCACACAGAAUUGUCCCAUAAAGCUUACAAAAUGUUUUGUGGCUAAGUAAUAUCUGCAACAGCAAAGCAUGUUCCACCAAGUAUGGCGAUAAAUAUUUCAGAGCUGUCAGUCUGAGGACUCCUACAAACUAACAAUACCUUCAGCACUGACUAGCCUCAAUAAUAGGAGGUCAGCCAUUUUGCUGAAAUUAAUAAAACUUCAAUUAUUGUGAUCUUGUUUACGAAAACAUUUGCAAUUGUAAUUCAGUUCUAGUAUCUGUCACUUUUGUAAAUAUUUUCCAAUUAGUUUUUCAGACUACAAUUUUUGGUAAUAGAGGUAUUCAUUGCAGAAAGAUCUAGUACAUGGCACUUAAUAAUAAAGGUACUGGUCAUCGUAGACUUUCUGUUGCACAGCUGUUUCUUGAAAUCUGAAAGGAUGUACCCGCCUCCUUAUGUUAGCUAGAAACGGAAAUCUGUCAGUAUGUUUUGUUUAAAAUACAGCUGAUCAACCCGAUAGUUAGGCUGCUUGCCAAAUAUAAAUUAUAACGAUAAUAGUGAAGGACCAUAAUAACAGAGUGAUGCUGACUCAUAACUAUGCCCAGCUACAUCCACGCAGCUGUGCCAUACAAUGUGCAUGUGUUCAGAAGAGCCAAAUGCCCCAGAGAGAAAGCAACAGUAACUCAUUGUUUGUCAUCUUGUUCAAGCAGAUUAUGCGCUAGCUGUAAUUUAUGCUCAGUAAAUACAUAAAUCAGUCAUGUCAGGUGUCUUACUUUAGGUUGCAAGUUCGAAGUUCUUGUAAUCUUGCUUGUUUUUAUUUUGUUUUCUUUGUGAGAAUGAGUCACUUGGUUGCCUUCGCACAUAUUCUCAAAACUGUUUCAUCACUGGGAAUCAGGAAAUUUAAUUUGCAUAUGAAAUUCCCAGUUACUAAUUUGGUAGGCUUUGAGCUUAAUUCUCUUAUCUUUUAUAUGUUUAUCUACCAAGUAGUCUUAUCGUUCAUUGAAACAUAUCCAUGUAAUGCAGAGAGGGCACCCAAAUUAUAAAUAUCUCUUCUUGCUUUCUACCCUGCUCUGGUGUUUUCAAAACCUAGCAUUGGUGCAAUGGCCUGUCUGCAGAAAAGUAGUAAAGUGGCUAAAUUUAAAGGUCAACAACAUAAUUAAGAUACAAAGCAAAAAUAUAAGUUCGCAAUUGUCCCCCAUAACGAGAGUUCUGCUUAGAAUUAAAAAAAAAUUGACAUCCUGCUGUGGUGUGAGAAUUGCUUUGGGUUCCAAGGGGACUACGUAGCACCUGUACUAGUGUAUACAAAGCAAAAAAAAAGAUCACUCCAGAUGGGAGCGGCAGUGGGAAGUCAAGCACAGAUGCUUUAUUUCACGCACCAUUAAUGUGGUUUAUCAUCUGCUCCUGUUGUAUGGGAAUGCAUACAUUGGGAAGACAAUCCUUUGCGCCAUUGUUACCUUAGCGGGACACCAGAGAAAGGUAGAAAUCGAGAACAGGUAUUCACACUUGGUUGCCCACAGUGUGUUAUUUGGAUGUGUUUCACUCUACAAAAGACUACUGUGGUAGGUAAUCAUAAUGACAAAGACAAAAGAAUUAAAAGAGGUAUGUGUCUGUCAUCCGUCCGUGACCUCCAGUGUUUAUAGAAACACUUCUUUGUGUAUAUGUGCCAAGCCGUAGGGAGGCUUUACGUAACUCAGUCAUGCUUGCUAAGCUAAAGAUUGGAAUAAGGAAAAUCACAAGAACAUUGUAUGAGUGAUUUAUAAAUGUGGCACCUAAAGUAACUUAUUCAUGUAUGUCCUGAGGAUAGAUUACAGCCAGUGCAUAAUGUGCUCUUACAGGAUGACUUGUGAUGAGUAAAAGAAGCCUUCCUCACAUCUUCCUCUUUGUUUCUUUUGGAUCUUUGUGCACUAUGUGUAUUGUUACAGCUGCGUGCAUGCAGCUGGGUAUAGUUUGUUUAUGUGUUCUGCUUCCCCUCUUGUACUCGUCAUUCAUGCGCUAUCUUUGCCGUAACAAAAUACAGCUGCCUGUGCUACUUAUUUUGUCAACGUGUUUGGAUUAUGGAAAGUUUUGUAUUAGCGGUUAUUUCUACCUGUGAAAUUGUCUGUGUCAGCUAUUUUACUUAGUCUUGCAAAAGUAUGCUUCUCAACAUAAAUAAAUGAUCAGUGUAAGUGUUGCUGUAUUUAUUUUUGUAAUUUUGUCAGUUAUGAGGUUUUUAUACACUGUUGCAUGUUGUAUGACAGAAUAAAAUUGAUGCACAACUUUUUAA